rnacentral:rRNA from 1 species
UACGUAGGGUGCAAGCGUUGUCCGGAAUUAUUGGGCGUAAAGAGCUCGUAGGCGGUCUGUCGCGUCGAAUGUGAAAAUCCGGGGCUCAACCCCGGACCUGCAUUCGAUACGGGCAGACUAGAGUUCGGUAGGGGAGUCUGGAAUUCCUGGUGUAGCGGUGAAAUGCGCAGAUAUCAGGAGGAACACCGGUGGCGAAGGCGGGACUCUGGGCCGAUACUGACGCUGAGGAGCGAAAGCAUGGGGAGCGAACAGG